ensembl:lncRNA
UGGGAACCUCCAUAUGCCUCGGGAGUAGCCCUAGAAAAGGCAAAACAGACCAAAAAAAAAUUUUUUUUCAUCACCUGAAAAAGAAACCCAAGAGUUCCCAUCAUGACUCAGCAGUUAAUGAACCUGACUAGGAUCCAUGAGGAUUCAGGUUUGAUCCCUGACCUCACUCAGUGGGUUAAGGAUCCAGUGUUGCCGUGAGCUGUGGUGUAGGUCACAGACGCGGCUCGGAUCUGGUGUGGCUGUGGAAUAGGCCGGCGGCUAUAGCUCCAAUUAGACCCCUAGCCUGGGAACCUCUAUAUGCCUCACUUUCAGCCCUAAAAAGGAAAAAGGAAAAAGAAACCCAUACCCAUUAGCAGUCAUUCCUCGUUCCCCCUCCCCGCAACCCCUGACCACCACUGAUCUACUUUGUGUCUCUCUGGAUUUCCUUAUUCUGGACAUAUCAGUGAAUGGAGUCAGGUAAUAUGUGGUCUUUUGUGACUGGAUUUUUUUCAUUUAGCUUAAACCAAGGAAAUUUUUUCAGGUUGCCUCUUUGAAGGCAAAUGGGUAGGUUUGAAUCCAGACUCUACAGCCCACAGGCUGUGUGGGUUUAGGGAAGUGACUUGACCUCUCUGAGCCUCAGUUUCCCUGUCUUCAUACGGGCAGGGUUCCUGUGUUAACACACGUAAAGGCCUGGAGCUGUGCGUGGGACACGGACUUUGGGAAACGUAGUUUUCACCAUCUUCCUUGUCCUGGAUGUCCCCAAAGACCUUGCCAGCUCUGUCUGGGAGGCCCCGCCGCUCUGUUUUCCUUCCCUCGGCAAACAUGCACCACAGUCUGCACGACUCUCCCCACAGGGGCUGCACCUGUGGCCCAGCCGAGGGUCACGUGCCUGCACCUUGCAAAUCCUCACCCAAGUGGAUGGGCUCCUACACUCCCCCCAGCUCUUGCCAAGGAGUUCGACGGCCCCUCUCCGGGCUCUGAGGUUCAAGACAGCUCUGGGAAUGUCCCCUGCAGGGCCUCCCCUUCGUGUCCUCCGUCUUCCCACUCUGAGGUUGAGAGAGGGCACCCAUACCCACAGCCCCGGGUAGGAAGAAACUGCUCUCCCUUUGCGCCUACUUGCCGACUCGUUAGCCGUGGAUGUUAUUAACUGUAAAAUGACACAGUUAGAAACAGGAUACAANNNNNNNNNNNNNNNNNNNGGAAAGAGAUCCCUCAAGCCUGAGAUACUUACUGACUUCUUCUGGGGUCUUGUUCCUUCCAUCUCCAGGCGGGUAGAAUUUCAUGAGACCCCGCGGGCUUUACUGGGGAGACUGAGAAGAGCGAUUUCCCCUACCCCAGGGCGCGAGGGUGGCCCUUCUGUGUACCCACCCUGUUUACACCGGGACCGUGGUUUCUUUGUGCCAUUUUAUAUCUUUUUCCAUGUCUGGGUUUGCCUCCCCUGAGAGCCUGUAAACUUCUAAAGAACAAAUACUGUGUCGUCUCCUUUGAUAAGAGCCUGUGUUUCAUGGGAAAAAAAA